rnacentral:rRNA from 1 species
GUGCGUAACGCGUAUACAAUCUGCCUUUCACUGGGGGAUAGCCCGAAGAAAUUUGGAUUAAUACCCCAUAGUAUAGGAGCACGGCAUCGUGAUACUAUUAAAGCUUAGGUGGUGAAAGAUGAGUAUGCGUUCUAUUAGCUAGUUGGAGAGGUAACGGCUCCCCAAGGCGAUGAUAGAUAGGGGUUCUGAGAGGGAUGUCCCCCACACUGGUACUGAGAUACGGACCAGACUCCUACGGGAGGCAGCAGUGAGGAAUAUUGGACAAUGGUCGGAAGACUGAUCCAGCCAUGCCGCGUGCAGGAUGAMGGYCUUAUGGRUUGUAAACUGCU